rnacentral:rRNA from 1 species
UACGUAGGGGGCGAGCGUUAUCCGGAUUUACUGGGCGUAAAGCGCAUUAAGGCGGCCGGCAAAGUUGGUGGUGAAAUUUCAGGGCUCAACCCUGAAACUGCCUCCAAUACUGGUUGGCUAGAGUGUGAGAGAGGAAGGUGGAAUUCCCGGUGUAGUAGUGAAAUGCGUAGAUAUCGGGAGGAACACCAGUGGCGAAGGCGGCCUUCUGGCUCAUAACUGACGCUGAGGCGCGAAAGCUAGGGGAGCAAACAGG